rnacentral:rRNA from 1 species
GAUGAACGCUGGCGGCGUGCCUAAUACAUGCAAGUCGAGCGAACAGAUGAGGAGCUUGCUCCUCUGACGUUAGCGGCGGACGGGUGAGUAACACGUGGAUAACCUACCUAUAAGACUGGGAUAACUUCGGGAAACCGGAGCUAAUACCGGAUAAUAUAUUGAACCGCAUGGUUCAAUAGUGAAAGACGGUUUUGCUGUCACUUAUAGAUGGAUCCGCGCCGCAUUAGCUAGUUGGUAAGGUAACGGCUUACCAAGGCGACGAUGCGUAGCCGACCUGAGAGGGUGAUCGGCCACACUGGAACUGAGACACGGUCCAGACUCCUACGGGAGGCAGCAGUAGGGAAUCUUUCGCAAUGGGCGAAAGCCUGACGGAGCAACGCCGCGUGAGUGAUGAAGGUCUUCGGAUCGUAAAACUCUGUUAUUAGGGAAGAACAAAUGUGUAAGUAACUAUGCACGUCUUGACGGUACCUAAUCAGAAAGCCACGGCUAACUACGUG